GAUUCCGUGGUGCAACGGUAGCACGCAAGCCUAACACGCUUGAGGUCGCGAGAUCAACACUCGCCGGAAUCA
rfam:Acanthamoeba castellanii str. Neff unplaced genomic scaffold scf7180000084754, whole genome shotgun sequence.